UACGUAGGUGGCAAGCGUUAUCCGGAAUUAUUGGGCGUAAAGAGCGCGCAGGUGGUUGAUUAAGUCUGAUGUGAAAGCCCACGGCUUAACCGUGGAGGGUCAUUGGAAACUGGUCGACUUGAGUGCAGAAGAGGGAAGUGGAAUUCCAUGUGUAGCGGUGAAAUGCGUAGAGAUAUGGAGGAACACCAGUGGCGAAGGCGGCUUCCUGGUCUGUAACUGACACUGAGGCGCGAAAGCGUGGGGAGGCAAACAGGAUUAGAUAU
rnacentral:rRNA from 1 species